GGAGAAACCGGGGUGGGGGAGGGGUCAGCAUCAGCCCAGGCAGGACUGUCCUGGGGAGCCCCUCCUGUUCUCAGGCAAGACUGGGAAAUCCCAGCCCUAGGGCCCUGGAGAGGCCCUCACCCGCUCUGCUUUCACCCAACCCGACUGACACGGAGUAGGAGGUGGGAAUCAUGCAGGCAGGGAGCUUAGGAAGCCUGGUUUAAGAUUGCUUUGAAUGGCAGGCCCCCUGCUGUGCUCCUGGGGAGAGAGCCUGAAACCUGGAUGCUCGGGAGCCCCUCAGAUCCGUCAUCUGUCCCCGACACCCCUGUGGUGAGCCUUGCCACUGGGCCCUGAGAAGCUCAGAGCAGUCGAGUCAGGGCAGUGGGACAUGACCCAGGUCAGAUGUGGCUUUUCCGUAAUUGUACACCAAUGAUCAAGAGAAAAUGAAGGAUUUUAAUAUCACACACCUACACUUGAUGGCAGGGAAAUAAUUAUUUCCUGCAGAAUGGGCUGCAAAUGUAACAAACCCCCUGACCUUCAGUCUGAAGAGAGAGAACUAUCAACCACACAGAAGCAAAGAUCCAGAGAAAUACUGAGGGAUGCUACCAGACACUCAACCAGGGCCACUCUCCGAGAUUCCAGCCAGCCACACAGCAAAGAUGCUGGCCGGGGACACUGCCCCAAACCACCAGACAGAACCCCAAAGAAACAGCUCCACACACAGUGGAAGAUACACCAGAGACUGUUAGAAGGACCAUCAGACAAAGCCAAAGAGACAGGUAGAUGAAACCAGAUAACCAGCCAGAGAGGUGGUCAGAGAACAGCGACACAAUCAAAGGACCCACCAGAAACACUGUAAAGGACUCAGCUAGACCCAGGCAGAUACACUGCCGAAGGACGAGCAAGGAGCACAGGCAGUGAAGCCGUCGGCGACAAAGCCAGAGAGCUAAGACACUGUCAGAAACAGUGCCAGAGAAACCGUCUGACACACAAGCAGAGAAAUACCAGAGAAACUGAUAGACGCAAACAGGCGUACACCCAGAAAAACAGCUUGAGAGAAGAGCCAGAGCCACAGCCAGAUGCUCAGUCAGGAAGUAUCCACACCACUCCAAACACUGCCAGAGACACUGUCAGACACACAGUCAGACACACUGCCAGAGACACCGUUAUAAAGACUGCCAGAGAAACAGCCAGACACACAGCCAGAAAAACUGACAGAGACGCAGUGCCAGAUAUACCCCGAGAAAGUGCCAGAGACUCAGCUCCAGACAGUGCAGACAUAGCAUAACAGAGACAAAUGUGGGUAUCAGCCUGAAGCAGCUGCGGAGAGGCUGGAGAGCAAUGAACUUCCUGGGGCUUCCUGUGGGAGAGGGCUCCUGCCUGCCUUUUGCUACCCUUGACCCUCUCCAGGAAAGUCCCCUCCUCUGAGCCUGCUUUUCCUUUCCUCCCUGUCACAGCCACAGGUGCCCUGACUGCCCCUCCCUGGCACAGUAAAUCUCUCUGUGUCCUAAGUGGC
rnacentral:lncRNA from 1 species